GAGUAACUUUUCCUCUGAUCUGAUCUGUUGUCAAAUUAGUGGGUGGCAGGAGAAAGCCAGUCACAUGAUAUCAUCGUUUCCUAUUCAAACAGACGGCUUUUUUUUUUUCAGUAAAAAUACUCGACUGCAAGACUAUGAGUGUGCAGAUAAUUCUGCUGCUUACUCCGAUUGGAGGUGUCUCCAGGGAGUUUCCAAGCACAGGAAGCAUUCCUGCUCUGAGGUUUCGGAAGAACACUUUCAGCAGGAUUUUGGGUCACUGAAAUGAAAGUGAACUAUGCUCUGUACAAAUGUAUCAUGUUUAAUUCAGGAGAAAUUCAUGCAUUUCUUUGUUCUAUAAAUAUUUACUGGCAGCUCGUUUUGUAUAGGAGGCUGCCACCUCCCAAAAGCCCCCUGCUCCUCGAGUGGGUUGAGCCUGAAACCCCACAUCCACAGACGUGCCCAGCGGCCUUGGGUGCUCAACACAGGCUCGUUCAGAAUAACAGAGUACACCAGUCAUCAUAAGAAGAAAAAUUCACAUUUAAAGUUUGGAAAGCAACAGGACAAAGGUCUGUCUUCAGUGGUGCGUAGACAUGCUCGUGAUUGAAUUGGAAAUAGUUCUCUUUCCUUCUCUCUGACUUCCUAACUGAAAAGCUGCAGCGUGGGGAGAAAGGCUGCUCAGAAGCCUGGAGCCAGAACACGCACCCCGGCUUUUGCAGGGCCGGCUCACUUGGUUAGAAUCAAAGGAAAAGCCUUGUUAUUUGGGAAGCUGGGCGUCCUCACCAAAUUAGGGGAUUUAAUUUGCAGAUAUCUAAGGAGUGCUUUGAAAUGAAAGAUGAACUAAAAUCUGCUCUGAGGCCCGUGAUUUUUCACCAGUGAAGGACUCUCUUGCUGCUGGACAUACAUGAAAAGCAUCAUCUGAUCUGAAACGCAAGUCCCUGCAAGACAGAGGAGAGACUUUAUAAACAUUUUAUACCAUUCUAUGAAAUCAAUUCGAUUCAGGGCUAGAAUUCAAGAAGUAAUCCAUGGGCAAGUAUAUCUGAUGGUAAACCCAAACGAUUAUAUUGUUAACCUCUUGUACUUUUUUUAAUUUUUUAUUAUUUGAUAUUAUUAUCACAAAAGUCGCUGGAACAGGAUCCAUGAGCUGCUUCUUCACUGCUUAGUGUUUUCAGAAGCUGAUGGAUUAUUAAGCUCCAAUUGAAUACUUGAUUUCCAAUGAUUCCAUUAAUUUUUCUGGUUUGUGGUAGGAUUUGAUUUACUUAUUUUGUACUUUAACACACCAAUAAAAAAUAGAUACUAAGAAA
ensembl:lncRNA LINC00683 long intergenic non-protein coding RNA 683